rnacentral:rRNA from 1 species
CCUACGGGUGUCAGCAGUGGGGAAUAUUGCACAAUGGGGGAAACCCUGAUGCAGCGACGCCGCGUGAGUGAAGAAGUAUCUCGGUAUGUAAAGCUCUAUCAGCAGGGAAGAAAAUGACGGUACCUGACUAAGAAGCCCCGGCUAACUACGUGCCAGCAGCCGCGGUAAUACGUAGGGGGCAAGCGUUAUCCGGAUUUACUGGGUGUAAAGAGCGCGUAGACGGCGCGGCAGAUCCGGAGUGAAAGUCCAUGGCUUAACCAUGGUACUGCUCGGGAAACUGUGAAGCUGGAGUGCGGGAGAGGUAGGUGGAAUUCUUGGUGUAGCGGUGAAAUGCGUAGAGAUCAGGAGGAACACUGGGGGCGAAGGCGGCCUGCUGGACCGUAACUGACGUUGAGGCUCGAAAGCGUGGGGAGCAAACAGGAUUAGAUACCCGAGUAGUC